rnacentral:rRNA from 1 species
AUUGAACGCUGGCGGCAGGCCUAACACAUGCAAGUCGAGCGGAGCGGCGGACGGGUGAGUAAUGCCUAGGAAUCUGCCUGGUAGUGGGGGAUAACGUCCGGAAACGGGCGCUAAUACCGCAUACUAUCAGAUGAGCCUAGGUCGGAUUAGCUCGUUGGUGGGUUAAAGGCCUACCAAGGCGACGAUCCGUAACUGGUCUGAGAGGAUGAUCAGUCACACGGGAACUGGGACACGGUCCAAACUCCUACGGGCGGCAGCAGUGGGGAAUAUUGGACAAUGGGCGAAAGCCUGAUCCAGCCAUCCCGCGUGGGCGAUGAGGGCCUUCGGGUUUUAAAGCUCUUUUGGCAGGAAAGCGGUACCUGCAGAAUAAGCACCGGCUAACUACGUGCCAGCAGCCGCGGUAAUAC